rnacentral:rRNA from 1 species
GAUGAACGCUGGCGGCGUGCCUAAUACAUGCAAGUCGAGCGAACAGACGAGGAGCUUGCUCCUCUGACGUUAGCGGCGGACGGGUGAGUAACACGUGGAUAACCUACCUAUAAGACUGGGAUAACUUCGGGAAACCGGAGCUAAUACCGGAUAAUAUAUUGAACCGCAUGGUUCAAUAGUGAAAGACGGUUUUGCUGUCACUUAUAGAUGGAUCCGCGCCGCAUUAGCUAGUUGGUAAGGUAACGGCUUACCAAGGCAACGAUGCGUAGCCGACCUGAGAGGGUGAGCGGCCACACUGGAACUGGGACACGGUCCAGGCUCCUACGGGAGGCAGCAGUAGGGAAUCUUCCGCAAUGGGCGAAAGCCUGACGGAGCAACGCCGCGUGAGUGAUGAAGGUCUUCGGAUCGUAAAACUCUGUUAUUAGGGAAGAACAAAUUUGUAAGUAACUAUGCACGUCUUGACGGUACCUAAUCAGAAAGCCACGGCUAACUACGUG